rnacentral:rRNA from 1 species
UUGACCUCGGAUCAGGUAGGGAUACCCGCUGAACUUAAGCAUAUCAAUAAGCGGAGGAAAAGAAACCAACAGGGAUUGCCCUAGUAACGGCGAGUGAAGCGGCAACAGCUCAAAUUUGAAAUCUGGCGCAAGCCCGAGUUGUAAUUUGUAGAGGAUGCUUCUGGGCAGCGGCCGGUCUAAGUUCCUUGGAACAGGACGUCACAGAGGGUGAGAAUCCCGUAUGCGACCGGUUGGCACCCGUCACGUAGCUCCUUCGACGAGUCGAGUUGUUUGGGAAUGCAGCUCUAAAUGGGAGGUAAAUGCCUUCUAAAGCUAAAUACCGGCUGGAGACCGAUA